UACGUAGGCAGCGAGCGUUGUUCGGAGUUACUGGGCGUAAAGGGUGUGUAGGCGGUUGCUUGAGUUUGGUGUGAAAUCUCCCGGCUCAACCGGGAGGGUGCGCCGAAUACUGAGUGACUAGAGUGCGGGAGAGGAAAGUGGAAUUCCUGGUGUAGCGGUGAAAUGCGUAGAUAUCAGGAGGAACACCGGUGGUGUAGACGGCUUUCUGGACCGUAACUGACGCUGAGACACGAAAGCGUGGGUAGCAAACAGG
rnacentral:rRNA from 1 species